rnacentral:rRNA from 1 species
UACGUAGGUGGCAAGCGUUGUCCGGAAUUACUGGGCGUAAAGGGCGCGUAGGCGGGUAUUUAAGUCAGAUGUGAAAGAUCCGGGCUCAACCCGGGGACUGCAUCUGAUACUGGAUAUCUUGAGUGCAGGAGAGGACAGUGGAAUUCCUAGUGUAGCGGUGAAAUGCGUAGAUAUUAGGAGGAACACCAGUGGCGAAGGCGGCUGUCUGGACUGUAACUGACGCUGAGGCGCGAAAGCGUGGGGAGCAAACAGG